AACGUCCUUGUUACCCUAAUUGAAUUGUUGUCAACACAGUUCUUUACAAAGUCAAUCAGAGACUAAAGAACAAGUUUUAUAGUGAGACAUGGUUUGUAAAAAAGACUACAAUGUUGAUAUUAAGGUUGACAAUGUCACUUUGUGUUCCGGUCAAACACCUCAUAUAUGCUGAUAAAGCACAACAACAACAAAAUAUGGGAAGUUGAGCUUUCCAAAAGUUUGAGCAUGGGUUCAACCAACUUUGGCAAAAAGCCACGUACUCUCUAUCACACGGCAAAUGGAAUGUGAAAUUCUCUAUGAGCGCUUUCUUCUACGUGACAACGUUCUAUUAAGACAUCCAUGACUUGAC
rnacentral:lncRNA from 1 species